rnacentral:rRNA from 1 species
CUCCGGGUUGAUCCUGCCGGACCCGACUGCUAUCAGAGUGAGAUUAAGCCAUGCGAGUUAACGUAGCAAUACGUGGCGCACGGCUCAGUAACACGUAGUCAACAUGCCCAGAGGACGUGGAUAACCUCGGGAAACUGAGUCUAAACCGCGAUAAGUGAGGAUUUCUGAAAUGGUUCCUGACUAAAAUCUAUAUGGCCUCUGGAUUGGACUGCGGCCGAUCAGGCUGUUGGUGAGGUAAUGGCCCACCAAACCUGUAACCGGUACGGGCUCUGAGAGGAGGAGCCCGGAGAUGGGCACUGAGACAAGGGCCCAGGCCCUAUGGGGCGCAGCAGGCGCGAAACCUCUGCAAUAGGCGAAAGCCUGACAGGGUUACUCUGAGUGAUUUCCGCUAAGGGGAUCUUUUGGCACCUCUAAAAAUGGUGCAGAAUAAGGGGUGGGCAAGUCUGGUGUCAGCCGCCGCGGUAAUACCAGCACCCCGAGUGGUCGGGACGAUUAUUGGGCCUAAAGCAUCCGUAGCCGGUUCUACAAGUCUUCCGUUAAAUCCACCUGCUUAACAGAUGGGCUGCGGAAGAUACUAUAGAGCUAGGAGGCGGGAGAGGCAAGCGGUACUCGAUGGGUAGGGGUAAAAUCCGUUGAUCCAUUGAAGACCACCAGUGGCGAAGGCGGCUUGCCAGAACGCGCUCGACGGUGAGGGAUGAAAGCUGGGGGAGCAAACCGGAUUAGAUACCCGGGUAGUCCCAGCUGUAAACGAUGCAGACUCGGUGAUGAGUUGGCUUAUUGCUAACUCAGUGCCGCAGGGAAGCCGUUAAGUUUGCCGCCUGGGGAGUACGGUCGCAAGACUGAAACUUAAAGGAAUUGGCGGGGGGAGCA